GGCCUGGCUGGACUGUCCGCCUUCUGGGUGAGUACUGUCUGUGGUCGGGUCCUACCUUCUGGCGAAGCUCACCGGCCGUGGCGGGGAGCCAGGACUUUUACUGUGAAAAAAUUAGAGUGUUCAAAGCAGGCACGCGCUUGAAUACAUUAGCAUGGAAUAAUGGAAUAGGACAGUGGUUCUAUUUGUUGGUUUCUAGGACCGUUGUA
rnacentral:rRNA from 1 species